AACGAACGCUGGCGGCAUGCCUAACACAUGCAAGUCGAACGAGACCUUCGGGUCUAGUGGCGCACGGGUGCGUAACGCGUGGGAACCUGCCCUUAGGUUCGGAAUAACUCCCCGAAAGGGGUGCUAAUACCGGAUAAUGUCUUCGGACCAAAGAUUUAUCGCCUUUGGAUGGGCCCGCGUUGGAUUAGCUAGUUGGUAGGGUAAAAGCCUACCAAGGCGACGAUCCAUAGCUGGUCUGAGAGGAUGAUCAGCCACACUGGGACUGAGACACGGCCCAGACUCCUACGGGAGGCAGCAGUGGGGAAUAUUGGACAAUGGGCGAAAGCCUGAUCCAGCAAGGCCGCGGGAGUGAUGAAGGCCUUAGGGUUGUAAAGCUCUUUUACCCGGGAUGAUAAUGACAGAACCGGGAGAAUAAGCUCCGGCAAACUCCGU
rnacentral:rRNA from 1 species